GCUGUAAAAAAUGCAGAGAUACUUGCAAUCUUGCAUUUUUUGCUGCUAUUGUUAAUUUGACAGCAUUGUUAUUGAAACAUAGAUGUGGAAGGGAUCUAUUUGGGUCAUUGGGUCUGACCCACUGCUCUUGCAGCCAACAUCAGUAUAUACGUAUAAUCCCCUCCAUAAAAACUGAAGAAAAUCUAAGUAGCUGGGAGUAGUCAGACUAAAAACCUAUCCAAAGUUUUUCUUUAGAAUUUUAAUGCUGUAAUUGUUACAGACCUUUAUCUAAUUUGCGAGUUAAUUUUUUCUUUAUCUUUUUUUACUAGAUAGUAUUGUAUUAAUAUUUACUGUGAAAGGAUUAAAUUAACAGAGGGAUAUUGUAACAAUUUGUGAAUCCAGUUAAAUUCUCCAGAGCAGAGCAUACUGUGCCAAUACAAAUAUUUGCAUGGUACUAAAAAUUAAUGUAUGUGGAAGAGCAUAAAUCAAGUAAUUCACUGUGAAUUUUUAAAACUUCCACAUGACUUUCACAUCUCGCUCAAGGAAUGUAAAAAAUACAUUGGUAUUAAUCUCUGAAAGUGCAACCAGACACAUUGUUCAAGUGCUAUAGGUUAUAUUUUAAAAACCAUAGUGAUAGAAAUUACUAUUUUUUUGCUAUUUUCAUUCAUGAAAAGCCAGUGUAAAUUAUUAUUUUUAUAGAGGCUUGGAAAUUAACUGUAAAUAGUUUUGAAAGAUUGGAAAUAUAUAAAUAUGCAUAUAUGAAAGCCUACUCACCCUGUGAUGUAGCAAUGGCCAAGUCCUGCACAUACUGUGCCUCUUUCACAAACCAUGCGGGCACAGUAGGACAGGGAAUUUCUGAUCUGUGAGGGUAGGCACUUCUGCAGGCUUGUAGGGAAGAUAUCUAUCUUGAUUUCUGAAAGCAAUAUGGUAGUCCUGAAAUACAGGCUAGACUUUCUCUGAGGGGUUCCUUAACCUUUUUUUUCCCUAACUCAGGGAAAGUGAGUCAUGGGAUUUGCUGGAGUUUAUCCAUCGCACUUCGGCUCUCACAUUGUGCAGGGGCAAUUGAUACCUUACCUUCCACACUGAGGUAUCUACCAAGACAACAAAAGUAUUGCAGAAGAUUGAUUUCUCUCCUAGAGUCUCUUUGCAACUGACUGACUGUCAGAAAGGGAGAUGUGGGACAGAUUUGAACUGAUUUUUCAACAUUUGGAAAGCAGGCUAUGGAGUGAUGACACACUUCACUUUUGGAUAAAGAAACAAAUGUGAUACAUAUUUUAAAAGUGGAGAGACUGCUCAAAUAAUUGACAAGUCUGACCUCUGGGACUGUCAUCCACUUUAAACACUUCCCUAUUUUGAAACAGCUCACGUAUAUUUUUAUGUUCAUUAGGUAUUCAGAGAGUGCCUUCUUUUCUGCAAGUAGCGGAGAACAGCAAAGAGCGGAGGAUCCCAGACACAGAAUACACUUGUGAUGCAAGAUGAAUUCCUGAGGCAGGAGGUUUGCAGGGAAGAAUAAUGAGUAUUACUCACUAAGAUCACUAAGCAAGUAUUAAAUAUUUUUGGUACAGUAGUGCCUGAAAGCCUCAAUCACACUCCUGUUUAUGAGCACACCUCAUACCUGCAGUGUGAGAACUUCUGAGGAGCAUCCUGUGCUCUGAAAAGACAAGGUAACCAGCAAACAAAACUUCCACUACUACUGUCCACCUGGGAGGGAGCCUCAAAGACAUCCAGUGAGGACAGCUCUGUCUGCAGUGAUGGAGAUAUGCAGGGCUGUGAAGGAGCAAGAUUCACGAUGGGAACAGUUCCAGGCAUGGAGGAAGAUAUACAGCAAUUGACAGGACUUUAUUAUAUGGACUUUACAGUUUUUAUGUGCUUAUAAAUACACACAUUGUAUGUUGCCCCUAUACUUAUAUUCCCGGGCGUGCCAAGGCAUGCCUGCUUCCCUGUUCCCUGCUUCCCCGCUCCCCUCUCUGAUUGGCCGGAGAAGCUGCAGAGAGGAGACAUCCACCAUUCGCCCUUUCCUUCCCCGGCUCCUCCCACGUUCCUCCUCCUUUUGCCUGUGUCCCUAUCCCGAUUUGUUCCCCCGUUUGUCUGUCUCAUGCUUCACUCCAUGUUCUGGCCCUUUCCCCGCCUGAACUGAUAAAAAAUCAAUAAAGCAUUCCAUCUGCACCCCUACCUUGUCUCCGGACCCAUCCGUGCUAUGUCAUGGCCCCAUCCCCCCUCGGACCGUGGCACAGGGCUGCAGAAAGGCCUGAUAACUACAUCUUGCCCUGUGCACCCACUAGUGAAACUGAAUCUGACAAUUGCACGUGUGUAUAUGUUGAUAAAUCACGAUGGGAAAUAGAUGAAGAUUCUUGUUUUGCACAUUUGUUUUCUUCCCGACCAGUAUCUGCUCUUCUGGUUGCACUGCUGAGGUGCUUCAGUUUAGCUUUUGAUGAUGAAAGAAUCAGAGAUUGCAUGAAACAGCUAUUCUGCUCUGAGCUCCCUGUCACUGAAUGGACUGUUGUGGGGGAACCUAUGUCCACAGGAGGAGUGUUUUAAGAUUCCAUCUGUAUAGCUUAGGCUGAGCUCUGAUUUAAAAUUGGCUCUUAGCACAACACAAGUCCAAAAAUAGAUUAAGUGUAUUUAUUCAUACUUUAGCUGAAAUUAACAUGUCCAAACCAUCUUUGUUAUAAAAGUGUAACAAAAACUGUAUUUCAUUUGCUGCAUACUGUUGCCCUAUCUAAGUGCAAUUGAUUUCUGGUUUACAAAAACAAAACUAAACAAAAAAACUAAUAAGAGCCAGUAUCAACACAAUUGUCCUAAUGCAACAUGUUCAUAGCAAGGAAUCAAUUAAAAAGUAGUGUCAGAGAGAAUACACCGAAAACUUUUUUCCCUGUGAGUUUACUAGUAAUUUAAGCUACAGUAAAAAUAGAUUAGUCUUGCUUCAUUUACGUUCAAGCAUCUUCUAGUGAGAAAUUUCUUUCAUUUUAUUUUCUUUUCUUUUUUUCCUUUUUUUUUUGCCCCUGUAUUUUCCUCAGUUUGGGUUAUUAAGCUUUCUGGACAGAAGCUUCAAAGUCUUCAGUCUGAAAAACAUUCUACUGAAGUAACUGUUAAAUCCCACUGCUUUACCACAGUAGAUUCUGUAGACUCUGUAGAACUGAGAUUCCAACUGCAACUGUAUUCCAAUCUCACUGGAGGGAAUACAUAUGAAGUAGGGUGGAAGGGCAGAUGAAGAGAAAGACAGCUUUUGUGUUGUGUGGUUUAUUGGCUUCAGAGUUUUUCAGAUGACAUUUUAAAAAAAAAAUCAUCUUUGGUUUCAAGGUGCUUUAAUGGUUUGUUUCUUAAACAGGGGAAAUCUACAAUAUUUCUGAAAGUGGUCUGAAAAUGCUGAAGAAAAGAGGGAGGGAGAAAGGGAGACUAUGGCUUAUCUUAUAAAUACACUUCAGGUUGAUGUUUUAGCACAUACCCAAAUCUAUAGGUCAAUUCUAAGCCUUUAGCAUUAGUAUUUGAACAUCUUGCUGUUUCUGAACCAUAGUACUCUGAGUAUUGUAAUCAACUCAACUAAUCUGAACUUAAAAUUCUUUUUUGAUCUCAUAAAAUCAGUUCUCAAGAAAUACUAGAAUGCAGAGCACAGGUGAAGACUGUGAUCAAAAACUACUAUUAAAGGAUAUGAAGAUUGUUGAAAUUCAUGACAUGCUUUAUGAAAGGUGUAAAACAUAACAAAACAAACAACUCUACUGCCAAGCCUGUUCCGUUUGUUUUAAAUAAAGCGCCUAUUUUUGAGAUAGACUAUAAUAUUGAGUGUCCUCACAAGUGUGGCUUCCUUCUAAGUUAAUUUCUGUUGUUACAAUAUGAAGGUAUGUAUGUUAAAUU